GACGAACGCUGGCGGCGUGCUUAACACAUGCAAGUCGAACGGAAAGGCCCUGCUUUUGUGGGGUGCUCGAGUGGCGAAAGGGUGAGUAACAAGUGAGUAACCUGCCCUUGACUUUGGGAUAACUUCAGGAAACUGGGGCUAAUACCGGAUCGGAGCUCCUGCUGCAUGGCGGGGGUUGGAAAGUUUCGGUGGUUGGGGUUGGACUCGCGGCUUAUAAGCUUGUUGGUGGGGUAGUGGCUUACCAAGGCUUUGACGGGUAGCCGGCCUGGGAGGGUGACCGGCCACAUUGGGACUGAGCUACGGCCCAGACUCCUACGGGAGGCAGCAGUGGGGAAUAGUGUACAAUGGGCGGAAGCCUGACGCAGCAACGCCGCGUGCGGGAUGACGGCCUUCGGGUUGUAAUCCGCUUUCGCCUGUGACGAAGCGUGAGUGACGGUAAUGGGUAAAGAAGCACCGGCUAACUACGUG
rnacentral:rRNA from 1 species